rnacentral:rRNA from 1 species
CUCCGGAAACUGAAAAUCAUACCCGAUAGAUCAUUAUGCCUGGAAUGGUUUAUGGUCGAAAUGAUUUAUCGCCGUAGGAUGGGACUGCGGUCUAUCAUAUUGUUGGUGAUGUAAUGGCCCACCAAGGCUAUAACAGAUACGGGCUCUGAGAGGAGAAGCCCGGACACGGGUACUGAGACACGGACCCCGGCCCUAUGGGGCGCAGCCUGAGAAAAAACUUUGCAAUGUGCCAAAGCCCGACAAGGUUAAUCCGAGUGUUUUCUGCUCAAGAAAUCUUUUGUUGCUUUACAACACUGAUGAAUUCGGGGUGGGCAAGUUCUGUUGUCAGCUUCCGCGGUAAA